AAACAGCUUACUUGGCCAUGAGUUUAUCCCAGCCCAGAAUACUGCGAGAUUAUGGGUGAUUUCUCAGCAGGACACACUCCUCUCAAAGCAGAGUCUCGUUACCCAGCCCAGAUGGAGAAUGUGGACUCAUUCCAGGGGGACACCUGUGACUGACCAAGGCUAAGGUUGUGGUCCAAGGACACAGCAGCUGCCAAAUCGGAAAGGAAGCCCUAACCACAACCCACAGGUGCACCUUCUCUACGCUUGACUGUGCUCUCCUCAGAAACCAGGACCUGUACUCAGAGAACCUUCCGGUUUCUGACUCCGCUUCUGGAGAGGCCAGUGUGGAAGUCCAGCUUUGCAGAACCAGCAUUUUCUAUGCUGAGGAGAGAGAUUUGAACACAGACACCGGGAGAGGGCCAUGUGGCGACAGAGGCAGGGGUUGGAGCGAUGCAGCUGCAAGACAAGGAAUGCUACGGAGUGCGGACGACACUGGAAGCUGAGAGACGGGCGUGGGACGGCUGCUCCCUCACAGCCUCCGUGAGGAGCAAACCUGUCAACACCUUGGUCUCGGACUGCUAGCCUCCGGAACUGUGAGAGAAUAAGUUUCUGCUGUUUGAAGGCACCAGUUUGUUAUGGCAGCCCUAGGACGCUAAUGCAAGGCGUUAACUCCUGAAAAGCCAGAAGAUACUCAAAGGCACAGAGGAACAGCAGGCACAGGAAGCCACUGCCACCUCUAGGGCUGAAGGGGAGUAAACAAGGAAGGGACUGAGGACUUGGAGCGGCCACAGGUGAGACUCAGACCCUCAGGAGAGGGCGUGGCCUCUGCUGGAACACAGACCUGCUAGUGGUGAGAAUACUUGCCAGAAUGGGGGCCAGAGUGGUUUAUAGAACCGGCCUGAGUGGUCUGUAAUAAGCUGAAUAACUUAUUAGAGAGUGGAGGCUGGAGCCAGUUCAUGGAAGCGGCUCACUGGGUGGUGGGGAGAUUUGCCCGAGAAUGAGUGCCACCGCAAUCCCUGCCCAUCCACCCUGUUGGCAGCUGAGUCCUGGGAGGAAUAAACACAUGUGGAAGUGGGGAGAGAAGCCCUUUGCUCUGGGCAGGCUUGCGGCAUCCCUCCAGCGUCCUCUGUGGACAAAGCCUAACAGUGCACCAGCUGGCAAUGGGAACUGUUGACAGGGUCCCCCGGCGGUACCCCAAAGCAGGGCAAAAAGGGUGAGUUUGGAGCUGAGAGACAGUAAACUGACA
rnacentral:lncRNA from 1 species